AAGGGUAUCAGGGCAGAAACCACCAGACCAUAUGUCCUGUGUAAGAUGUAAGAUGUCACUAAGAAACCUGGUAACAACUGAUAGGGACCCAAAGGGCGAGCAGAAGCUCCCCAAAUUUAACAAAAAUAUUGGAGCAAAUGAACAGACAUUCACCAGCUGACACUGAUGCACACAAGCCUGAGAGCCUGAUGAGGACCUAGUCUGACAUCCCCACUCUUCUCAUCAUCUGCCUAAUCCUCUGCAUUGUCCUCAUCACUCUCAAACUAUACAGCAGCCUUUUGACCCUGGUAAGAAUGGCAAUGUCUCCUUACCAGCUGUCACCUCCACAGCAGAAGAAGCCUUCAUCAGUUCCUGACCGGAUUGCUGCAGUCUGACAUCCUGAAUCCAGAAAUGAAGACUUCCUAAACAACUCUCAGAAGGCAGUUCCUGGCAGCACUUAAUCCUGAGGAAGCAGAGAAGCCUGGAACAAACUCCAGAUGCCCUGCAGGGAACAGCGACUGGGGAAGCUGAAUCAGGAAGAUGGCAAGUUCAAGGCAAGCCUGGGGCAAUUUAGCCAUACCACAGCAUCUACAAACUGGACAGAAGUACAAAUUUGAAAAUCUGCAUAUUAACAAGCUCCCAGAAGAUGCUAAUGCCUCAUCGGACUGUGGACUCCAUGUUCUGCAGCAAGAAUCUAUCCUAGAGGCUCUCAGACCAUCAGAAUCAGCAUCACCUUAAGGGAACUUGAUAGAAAUGCAAAUUCUUGGUCUCACUCCAGACCUACUACAUUGGAAAUUCUGGGAGAAGCCCUGAAGUCUGAGCUUUAACAAGUCUUCCAGUGAAGACCUCGUUCCCUCACUAGCAGUUGAGUUCCGUGCAAAUUAUUCACCUCAACAAGAGAGGCAGACUGGAAAAGAACACCUGGCCUUUGUCUUUGGGGAUCAUUACCAGUGGAAACAGUCACCUGCAAGGAAACCUGUUAAGUGGGGGUCCCUUGGAUGCGAGGAGGUGUUGUACAAUAGCUCUGAGAACAUUUCCUGCAGAAGUGCAAAUGUCUUCUAUGUGAAAGAGGAGCAACCUGAUAUUCUGCUUCCAUCUGAUAAAAAAUGACCAUUACAAAUGAUUUCAAAUUUCAUGAAGAGGCUAAGAUCAGACAGGGACCCUGCAGGAAAGAUAGCCUUCCAGUUCUCCUGGACAGGGACUGUGCAGUCAGCUCUGUCGUCAUUCACCAGCUUCUGCACUUCACAGUUCAUCUGAGGAGACGGAGUUAGGGAGUUCUCCAUGGACCAGGAGUGCGGCUCUCUCUUUAUUUCACCCUAUGAACAUGGAUCCGCCUGAAGCUUGUGUGGGUCAAGAGUGAGUCUAGGACUUGCCUGAUUAUGGCCCUGUGUACCUGGAAGCAAUAGGUUGGUGUCACAAGUAGGCUUUUGGCUCCUGGCUGGAGGCCUUACAGGUUGGCCUUUGGCAGGCUGGGAUAUCCUGGGUAAAAAUAAAGCUGAUACUUGCUCUAUGUAA